rnacentral:lncRNA from 1 species
CUGCAGCCUCCUCCCACUACAGCAAGGAUGAGCACUUCAAAGUUGAGUUCAUUGAGGAGGUGAAAAAUUGGAAGCCUAAAAGGCCUGCCAUGCUCACCAAAGUGUCCCUCCAUGAUUCUCUGGACUUGACCGGUGAACUCCUGCCCCCUGGAGCGGACAGUGACACCAGGGAGGAACCAGGGAGCGGAGGAGUCCAUAGAGACUACACUAGCAGAGCUGCCCACUGCAGAGGAGCUGAUGCGUCCCAUCCGACCAGACAGCAUGGACGACACCAGAGGCUCCACUCUGCAGCCUGCUAGUGGGACCCAGCUCAGCCCAGAGAAGACUGGCCAGUCCUUAAGCCAUAGAUCCCGUGAGUCAAGCCCAAGAUGCUCAGCAGAGCCAGACACUCCUCCGGCCUCCCCAGGCCCCCGUCCCAGAAGCAUCA